UACGGAGGAUGCAAGCGUUAUCCGGAAUGAUUGGGCGUAAAGCGUCCGCAGGUGGCUGUGUAAGUCUGCUGUUAAAUAGUGAGGCUCAACCUCAUAAAGGCAGUGGAAACUACACGGCUAGAGUGCGUUCGGGGCAGAGGGAAUUCCUGGUGUAGCGGUGAAAUGCGUAGAGAUCAGGAAGAACACCGGUGGCGAAAGCGCCCUGCUAGGCCGCAACUGACACUGAGGGACGAAAGCUAGGGGAGCGAAUGGG
rnacentral:rRNA from 1 species